GUUGCUAGGUGGUUGCUAGGUGGUUGCUAAGGUGUUGCUAUGGUAUCCGGGGUGGUUGCUAGGUGGUUGCUAGGGUGUUGAUAGGUGGUUGCUAAGGUGUUGCUAGGUGGUUGCUAAGGUGUUGCUAGGUGGUUGCUAAGGUGUUGCUAGGUGGUUGCUAAGGUGUUGCUAUGGUAUCCGGGGUGGUUGCUAAGGUGUUGCUAGGUGGUUGCAAGGUGGUUGCUAAGGUGUUGCUAGGUGGUUGCUAGGGUGUUGCUAGGUGGUUGCUAAGGUUUUGCUAGGUGGUUGCUAAGGUGUUGCUAUGGUAUCCGGAGUGGUUGCUAAGGUGUUGCUAGGUGGUUGCAAGGUGGUUGCUAAGGUGUUGCUAGGCGGUUGCUAAGGUGUUGCUAUGGUGUCUGGGGUGGUUGCUAAGGUGUUGCUAGGUGGUUGCUAAGAUGUUGCUAUGGUAUCUGGGGUGGUUGCUAAGGUGUUGCUAGGUGUAUCUAACUGGUCGCUAGGCAGUUGCUACCAUUUCUAAAGUGGUUGCUAAGCAGUUGCUAGGCAGUUGCUAACGUUUUCCAGGUGGUUGCUAAGGUGUUGCUAUCUGGUUGCUAGGCAGUUGCUAACGUAUUACACAUGGUUGCUAAGUGGUUGCUAGGCAGUUGCUAAUGUUUUCCAGGUGGUUGCUAAGGUGUAUCUAACUGGUUGCUAGGCAGUAGUAGAUAAAAAGAAAGAGUGUUAAAUGUAGAAGUACAGAAAAAGGGAGAGCCUGAAAUAGAGAAGUAGAGAGAAAAUCAGCGUGAGAAGUAGAGAAAGAACACCCGAGAAUGUGAGAAAAAGAGUGACAAGUAGAGAGAAAUAUUGAGCGAGAGAAAGAGAAUUAGGGAAAAAGAGAGAUCGAGAAAUAAAGAAGUAGAGAAAGAAAGAGGAUGUAGCAGAGAGAUAGAUAGAAAGAGAAAGCAAGACAGAAAAGUAGAGUGAAAGAGAAGUAGAGAGAAGAGCGAGAAAUAAAGAGAGAGUAAGAGAGAAAUAGAGAAAUAGAAAAGUAGAAAGAAAGAGACAGAAAAGUAGAGAGAGUGAGAAAGAGAGAGUGAGAAAUAGAGAAGUAGAGAGAGUGAGAAAGAGAGAGUGAGAAAUAGAGAAGAAGAGAGCAAAAGAGAGUGAGAAAUAGAGAAGCAGAGAGAGAGUGAGAAAUAGAGAAGUAGAGAGAGAGUGAGAAAGAGAGAGUGAGAAAUGGAGAAGUAGAGAGAGUGAGAAAUAGAGACGUAGAGAGAGAGUGAGAAAGAGAGUGAGAAAUAGAGAAGUAGAGAGAGAGUGAGAAAUAGAGACGUAGAGAGAGAGUGAAAAAGAGAGUGAGAAAUAUAGAAGUAGAGAGAGAGAGUGAGAAAUAGAGAUGUAGAGAGAGAGUGAGAAAGAGAGAGUGAGAUAGAGAAGUAGAGAGAGAGUGAGAAAUAGAGUGAGAAAUAGAGACGUAGGGAGAGAGUGAGAAAGAGUGAGAAAUAGAGACGUAGAGAGAGAGUGAGAAAUAGAGUGAGAAAUAGAGACGUAGAGAGAGUGAGAAAGAGAGUGAGAAAUAGAGGAGUAGAGAGCAAAAGAGAGUGAGAAAUAGAGAAGUAGAGAGCAAAAGAGAGAGUGAGAAGUAGAGAAGUAGAGAGCAAAAGAAAGAGUGAGAAAUAUAGAAAUAGAGAGAGAGUGGGAAAGAGAGUGAGAAUUAGAGAAGUAGAGAGCGAAAGAGAGAGUGAGAAAGAGAGAGUGGUUGCUAAGCAGUUAAUAGGUGGUUGCAAAGCCCUGGCUGGGGUGCCGGGAUGUCCAAACUUUUGACUGAUAGCUGCUCCAUACAGCAGCUCCUCCAUACACUCACAGUACUGGAGGAGCAGGGGAGAGAAGGGGUUCCGUGCGCAGAGCUGCUCGUGUGUGAGAUGGAACUCUGGGCCCCCCAUUCAUUUCUAUGGGAAAACUUCGUACGAAAAUUGUACGAAAACCGUACGUCGUAUC